UUGUGGCUGAGGAGAAUGGUGACCUGUAAACACAGACAUGUGGAAAGCCGUGGCAUGGGAGGGGACACCAGUGCACCUCAGACUGCCUUAGCAGUUAAGGGCCUCCUCCACAGCAGGGCUACCCAACUUCUCACCCUAGGGGAGGUUCAUCAGGUCCUCAAGGAGGAGAAAUCUGAGAAGGUCAUUGAGCCUAGUGCUUCAGUCUUUCAGGUUCAAAAGGAGAAUCUGCACUGUAACAAGCUCCCUGUGGUGCUGGGCUGGGGCCACACUGGAUACGGAGGAUUUGUUCUACCCCUUGGAGUCAAGAUGGAGAAACAUGGAACAGGAAGGUGAUGGGAUGAGCCAAAGAUCAUACAGAGAGGCUGUCUCUAUUUCCUUGCCUGUAUUUCCAUGUGUCUCCAUCACCAGAAAUGAACUUAGCCAACGAUUUCUCAUCUGCUCCAAGUUAAGACAGCCCUCAAAAGGGCCAGUGUGGACCAGCUGGGACCAGAGUGCUGGGUCAUAUAAGAUGAAAAUUCCAACAUGAACACAUUGUUUGCCCCAGGGAAUGAAUGAAGGCCCCAGAAGAUGGAAAGGUCAGGGCCAAGACAUGGAUAUCCUCUCCCCCUCUCUGUUCUUAGAGAUAAUAAAUUUGAUGAGAAGAAACUGAACAAUUAAAUGGCAAGUGAGAAUCCUCAAGAAGUCAAAUAAAAAUCCUGGCCAAGAACAGCCUUCUUUUUCUUCUUCUUGUUUUUAAAAACAAUGGUUUUUUGCAUCCAGUGGGGGCAAAAACAAAAAACAAAACAACAACAACAACAAAAAACCUGCAGUGAAUCUCUGCUUGACUUGCCUCCCAAAGAAUCACACCUGGGUAUUUUAGGACCUAAGUCAAGUUUGAAGAACUGUGCUCCCUCUUCCCAGCCCUCUCUUUAGAAAACUAAACCAUGGGGGUAACAAUCCUGUAAUUUUAACUGUAUUUAUAAAUCCCUGAUUCUUUA